UGGGGAAUAUUGCGCAAUGGGCGAAAGCCUGACGCAGCCACGCCGCGUGAGCGAUGAAGGCCUUCGGGUCGUAAAGCUCUGUGGGGAGAGAAGAAGAAAGCCCGUGAAGAGCGGGCCUUGACGGUAUCUCCUUAGCAAGCACCGGCUAACUCCGUGCCAGCAGCCGCGGUAAUACGGAGGGUGCAAACGUUGCUCGGAAUCAUUGGGCGUAUAGCGCACGUAGGCGGCGAAGCAAGUCAGGUGUGAAAGCCCUGGGCUCAACCCAGGAAGUGCAUUCGAAACUAUUUCGCUUGAAUCUCGGAGGGGGUCAGAGAAUUCCCGGUGUAGAGGUGAAAUUCGUAGAUAUCGGGAGGAAUACCAGUGGCGAAGGCAGCCUCCUGGGCCAGUACUGACGCUCAUGCACGAAAGCGUGGGGAGCAAACA
rnacentral:rRNA from 1 species